AUUGAACGCUGGCGGCAGGCCUAACACAUGCAAGUCGAACGAGUGGCGGACGGGUGAGUAAUGUCUGGGAAACUGCCCGAUGGAGGGGGAUAACUACUGGAAACGGUAGCUAAUACCGCAUACCAUCGGAUGUGCCCAGAUGGGAUUAGCUAGUAGGUGGGGUAACGGCUCACCUGGGCGACGAUCCCUAGCUGGUCUGAGAGGAUGACCAGCCACACGGGAACUGAGACACGGUCCAGACUCCUACGGGGUGCAGCAGUGGGUAAUAUUGCACAAUGGGGGCAAGCCUGAGGCAGCCAGGCCGCGUGUAUGAAGAGGGCCUUCGGGUUGUAAAGUACUUUCAGCGAGGAGGCGUUACUCGCAGAAGAAGCACCGGCUAACUCCGUGCCAGCAGCCGCGGUAAUU
rnacentral:rRNA from 1 species